GUAUGAUGGCUUCACGAGAAUUCAACUGUCUCCUUUGUCUAAUCAGUGAAACUGAUCUCCUCGUGCAGAAACGAGGAUAGUAUCAUAAGACGAGAAGACCCUAUGGAGCUUUAAACUCACAUCAACAAGUUCAUUCCUUAAAAUUUUAUAUUAAUUUAGCUUGCUCGAUUAAAGUUUUAGGUUGGGGCGACCAUGGAGAAAAAAUAAUCCUCCACGAUGAUUUUAACUAAGAGCCACAGCUCUAAGUAUUAAGACACUUAACUCACAUUGACCCAUUUUUAUGAUCAACGAACUAAGUUACCCUAGGGAUAACAGCGCAAUCCAUUUUAAGAGUCCCUAUCGACAAAUGGGUUUACGACCUCGAUGUUGGAUCAGGGCACCCAAGUGGUGCAACCGCUACUAAAGGUUCGUUUGUUCAACGAUUAAAGCCCUACGUGAUCUGAGUU
rnacentral:rRNA from 1 species